GGAUAACAGUACAAAAAAAUAUUGUUUGGAAACAUAGAUAACAGUAUAUUAACAAAAGUAAUGAGCUUAGGUUAUUAAGAAAAAUUGGAAAUCCAUUAUAGAAACUAUAUAUCUUGGUCAGCCUUAAAAUAUACGAAAAUUGUACAAUCUAAUUACCUAAAAAUAUAUAUUUAUAUAAAAAUCUCUACUUACAACAAAUAUGUAUUUAUAUAAAAAUAAAGUAAACAUCCGUGCGGAUGCACGGAUCAAAAUCUAGUAUACUAUUAAAUUAGCAAAAAUUUACCAAAUAAAUCUUUAGUCUCACGAGCUCAACAAAUAUAACUCUUAUGAAAUGUACAUAAAAUAUAAUAGGAGAGAUUAGGUAUGGGCAUCAGGUCUUCUGGUCGGGUACGAAUCGGUUCCUUUCAGGUCUAGGUUUUUAGCAUCCUAAAUAUUUGGACAUAACUAGGUAUUUAAAAUUUUCUGGUUCAGAUUCAGGUCGAUUCAUGCGGGAUCCAGGUUCAUAAUUUUUGGGUACCUAUAGAAUACCUAUAAGUUUUGGGUACUUAACGGGUCUGAAUUGGUUUGAGAUUUUUAGGACUCGAAAAAGACUUGAAGUACCCAAAAACUCAAAACUACUGCAAAACACAAAAAAAUACCCGAAAACACAAACAAAUACCUGGAAAUAUUUAAAUUCCCAAAAAAAACACAAAAUUUUACCAUAAUUUGACAUGAGAAACCGAAAAUACCUAAAAACAUUUUCUAAUACCCAAUUUUUUUUUAAUUUAAAAUUUUACUCGAAACUCGAAAGUAUAGUCGAAAACCUGGAUCUGAAACUUAAAAUAUUAUUCAUAUUACUGAAAACACAUUCGAAACACCAAAUAUAUAUCUUAAAUACCAAAAUAUACUUAGUAUACACAAUAUAUUUCAAGUACUUUGGAUACCCGAUUGAGUCUUGGGUAGGACCCGGAAUCGAAUAGGGACCGCAAGUUGAAGAAAAAAAAAAUCAAAUAUGUACUUUUCCUUGGACUUGGAUCCAAACCAAAGCUAUAUUUCCGGGUCGAUUUUGGUUUGAUUUUUCGGAUCUGGUAACAUGUUCAGGUCUAAAAAGAGUUAUGUAAGAGUGUAUAUACAAAAUUUAAUAUAAACCAAUUCAUAAAUUAUAUGAUUUUAAACAAAUGUCCUUCUUCUAUAUACUGACUUUGUAACAUAAUAAUGUACAUCAAUUCCAAAAUACUAAUUCACAAACUUUGUUUACAAUCCAAAAUAAAACCCGUGCUUUCGAAUCGCGGAACAAAAUCUUGUUAGUUUCAAUUAAAGUAGGUUUGAAAACAAAAUAGUCUAGAGAAAACGAUCCCAUCAAGAUCAUGAGCAGAUUGCCGGAAACAAAAUGGUGCUCGACUGAAUUCUAAAUUAGCUGCAAGAAUUACUCUUAUUCAUGUCUCAUCUAUCUCCCCACCACCCAGUCAAAUCACAUCAUCGGCAUUGAUCGCUCUAUUUCAUCAUCCGUUGCAGCCCCUGAUUGAUGUUGUUUGUCCGAUUUGUCUACAACCUAAGAGUACUGCAGAUUUUUGGUUGUGUGGCUGCCUCCUUCUCUUUCUUCUAUAUCCGGAUCUUUGUCGUCCAAGGAAAAUGUGAGGACCGGUUGUGGAUUUCAUCUCUUUCUAUUGUAAUGCUUCUAGGAUUUUUUUUUGCUUUGUUAAUAUGAUCUCAUUAUGCUUUCUGAUUGUGAUUGUUUUGUUGAUGUACUGAAAAUUUGGUAUUGGGAAUGAUUGAACAAAUGUAGAAAAAGGUAUCGCGGAUGUCAAAACUAACCGGUUGUAUGAUGACUGAAUAAAUGUAUAAAAGUAGGUAUUGCGGAUGGGGAGUAGCACAGAUCAACGAUGAGUAAUGUGGAUGAGGUGAUUAGUGGUUGUGUGAAUAUUGUGCUGACGUUCUGGUAUAGAGAAUGCAUAUCUCAUGAGGAAGAAAAGCAUGGUGUGCUGCACAUCUCAUGGAGGAAAAAACACAUUUAGUAUGGAAGUUUCCAAGUGAGUAAACGUGGUUGUUGAAUCAGAAGAGCGUUGUGAUUGAUCGGCACACAAAGUUAAAAAGGGAGAUUAAAAAUGCAAGCAGGAGCUUGUAGAUGUCAAUGGUAUGCCUUGAAGUAUCUGCUGGCAUAGUCGCUGAAGCAGAAGACUGUAAAGUGGUAAAGACCAUGUGGAAUCAAAAAGCUGAGCUGAAAUCGUGUAAACUUGGAGAGCAAGUGUGUAUCUUGGAGAAAAGACAAGAGGAAUCCCCAAGUUUAUGACUUAAAAGAAAAAGAAUAAGUGCAAUUCCAAGAAAAAGAAAGUUAUUGAUAUGGAAAAUGUCCAUAAAAAGUUUUAUGGUUUGGGAAUGUGGAGAUUAGUAGAUUACUAUUUAACAGAAAUGACCCCAUAACUAAUUAAUACCAAACAUUAUGUUCACAUU